UCCCUCUCAGGGCCACUCCUGGAGAGGUUCCAGUACUCUACCAGUCUUGACUACAAGAGGGAGAAUUGAGCAGAGGCAUAGCCAUUCCAUUCCUAACUUGGGCAGUGGCUAGCGAGUGGAAGACAAUCUGCCACAAGU